CUUGAUUUUCAUUUGCAUCCUUCUGCAGCAUCUGGUACAAGUCUCUUUCUCAGUCACCUGAGCACUUUUACCAACUAGCAUUCCUUCUAUUCUUCCUGUAGGACAGGUUGAUGUCACACAAUGUCUUUCACACUUUUCCAAUGGCACAUAAUAGUUUUCAAGGAUUUGUGUGUUUUCAGUUUUUCAACACAGAGUCCACACUGGUUUCAUAUGUGAUGAGGAGAAAAGCAAACAGUGGAGAACAGCAGUAGAUACGACACAGAAAAGCAAGAAAGAAAAAUUAAGGACUAAAAGACAGAGCUGUUUCUAAAACAUCAGGUAAGGAAUUCAGGUGACUCUCUAUAUAUAAAGUGUAAAACGUACAAAGAAUUGUGCCAAACAGUUUACCCUGCCCUUCCUAGUAUUUCUGCAAAUUUCUUCUAUAUGUGCCUAGGACAUAUGUACACACACAAUACAUAUACCUUACUACCUCCACUUAGACAAUGAAUUUACUUUUUGAGCAAAAUUGCUGUUACCCUCAGUGCAAAUAUUUUUUAUACUGGUAUCCUACAUUUCCUUUAAUAAAAUCCAUUUCCUGUAUUUUUUUUAUUUCCUUUAAAUAAUCCAUUGUACCAGUUGCUAUAGAAGCCAACUGAAUAGUGGUUUGACAGAGGAGUAAAAGUGAGUUGUGCUAUGUGUGCUCCUGUUCCUUCUCAACAGCCCCAAACCUUACAAUGUCCUGUCCUCAAACUGAUCUCUUGAGGCAUUACAAGCACGCUGCAGCAAAGCACCAUCUGUUAUCACCCACCCCACCCUUCCUACAGGUGACAGAUGGAAAGUUUGUUUAGAGCUUGGGCACACUUACAUUUCCUAAGCAUGACCAGAGAGGAGUAGAAAUAUAUUUACCAAAGAUGAACAGGGAAGAACAAUUCAUCCUAUCCUCUUCUGCUCUCCUGCUUUGGAGAGAAGUUGCUGCAUUGCUUGCAGUGUCACAGUGGGAGCAUGUGGUGGUGGAGAC
ensembl:lncRNA